GGAGCUGUUAGUAAGCGCUGAUCCAGAGAUGUCCGAAUGGGGGAACCCACUAACUAAUGGUUAGUAUCCAUAACUGUUAAGGUUAUGAGAAGGAAGACGCAGUGAACUGAAACAUCUAAGUAGCUGCAGGAAGAGAAAGCAAACGCGAUUGCCUUAGUAGCGGCGAGCGAAACGGCAGGAGGGCAAACCGAAGUGUUUACACUUCGGGGUUGUAGGACUGCGACGUGGGACUUUAAAAGGAUAGAAGAAUUACCUGGGAAGGUAAGCCAAAGAGAGUAAAAGCCUCGUAUUUAAAAUUCUUUUGAGCCCUAGCAGUAUCCUGAGUACGGCGAGACACGUGAAAUCUCGUUGGAAUCUGGGAGGACCAUCUCCCAACCCUAAAUACUCUCUAGUGACCGAUAGUGAACCAGUAC
rnacentral:rRNA from 1 species